rnacentral:lncRNA from 1 species
CCUCACUAUAUUUCUUCUGUAAAGCCAACUCUGCCUCAAGCUGUGCAAUACGUCCUUGGGACAGCUGCCUUCCAAGCUCUUGAUUCUCCUGGAUAAGCAUUCGACACUUCGCCAUUAACUUUUUGCCUGUUUGGCUAUCAGGCGUAAAUUUCCAGGCACUCAGUUCAUUUUGGGCUUGUUCCAGUUUGUCUUUAGUCUGUUCCAGUUCACCUUUCAUUUUUAGGAAAAACAAGUUGAUGGCUGGGUCCACCAUUGUUGAUCGCAGUUGGGCAACGCUAGGCUGCUGGACUUGCUUGAGGUACUGAAUCUGAUUAGUACACUCUUGCAUCUCUUGUUCUUUAGUUGCCAGCCUCAUGACCAGAAUAUUUUCUCUUCGGGCAGAUUCUUGUUGUUGCUGUUUCAAUUUCUCUUCAGAUUCUCUCAAUCCCGUCACAUCGUUAGAAUUAAGGUCUGUGUACUUGCCCUCCAAAGCUUGCACGUAUGCUUCAUACUGUUUCCACCUUAGGAUAAGCUCAUCUCUAGGCAAAACCUUAAAAUCUGCUUCACUAAGGCGAACCUUCUUUGGGAGAGGUUCUUCAUUCGUCAUUGUGAACUCUCCCGCCGGCGGUGCGGAGGCCCGCUCUCUCGGCAGCGCGCUCGAUCGCCUGGGCCGCACCCGUCACAUCGAGGGCCGAACGCCGCCGCCCGCGCCGCCCGCCUCCUUCCGCGCCCGCCGCCGGCUCCGCCGGGCCCGCAGCUCCGCAGCCGGGGUCGCCUCCGCGUUCCCCGCACCCGCGCGUCCCCGCGCGCCGCUCCCGCCCGCUCUUUAUUUGCGGAUUCUCUGCGCUACAAAAUGGCGCCCAAGGAGGAAAUGAGCGCCCGGCCGCCCCGCCCACCGCCCGCCCCGCGCCACAGAGCGGCGGCUGCGCGCGCAACCCGCGCGGCGCGGCGGGAGCCUCCGCAGCGACCGGUACGGCAACGCCGCCUCCACCGGCGGCGCGGCCCUUCGCGUGUCCGGCCCGGCCGCUGAGGAGCUCCCCUGGGGAACUCGCCUCUCUCGCAGAAGGCGGUGGAGGGCUGGGCUCGCUGUCCCGCCGUAGCUGUUUCUUCGGUUGUCGAAACGUUGGUUUAAAAGCUGUCAGUUAAACGGGCGGAGGGGCGGAGCGCGCGGCAUCAUGGGGCGGGCGGAAGGAUACCGCGUACCGCAGGGACGCCCUGUGGUGGCGCUGCGCCUUCGCGCGCUGUCUCGGCGUUCCUCAGCCGCCGUGUCCCGUCGGGCGCUCCGCGAGCUGGGCGCUGCGCUGUGCGGUGCGAGCUCGGGGUUCUCUCCCACUGCCGGGUCGGGGAGGGAGAGUUUUCGCUGGUUGUGGUGCUCGUUAGCGUCACAGAAUCACAGAACCGCGGGGGCUGGAAGGGGGUUUCUAGAAGUCGCCAACCCCCCGCUAAAGUACGCUCCCUGCGGCUCGCCGACUGCCUGCUGAAGGCGCGGUAGAAAUCCAGCCUCGUGGCUGCGUUAAUCGGUAGCAAAAUCGUGUUAACUGGUAGCAAAACGUUGCAGGAGGGAUCCCAAAGUACAUAUUCCUUAUCUGUAUUUAAAUAAGGAAACUGAUGCUUUUGGAAGCUGAAAAAUCCUGAAGUCCAAGGCACGCAUACAGAGAUUUUAUGCGGUUACACACAAAAAAGCAAGUUCUGUGUGAAUGGUGACCCCAGCAGCAGAAGGCUUGAGGUUUUUCAAAGCUUUGUCUUAGUUCUGAACUAAAAAGCAGGGGCUGUGAUUGCUCUUUGGGAUUUCCUGCCUCGCUUCCUCCACAAAUCCUUUGCAGGUGUUUGCUGUAAAUGCUGAGGAUGAACAGAUAAAGCCGACACAGGUGUUAAAUGCUGGAACAGGCCUUAACUAUGGAGUUUAAGCAAACUGACCCAAUUUCCUCACGCACAGAUUUAAACACUACAAUGCUAAAAGUGCAUGUAAUGCAUUUUGGGGCUUUGGUUUGUGCUCCUGUUACAAACACGCUAACACCUGCACCAAGUUGUGUUCACAGUGUGGUGGCUGCAGUAGCCUUUUCCUUGUUUCUAAGUGCUGUGAUAAGUCCCAGCAGCACUGUUAGUCCUGACAUGAGCAGGCACACAAAGCUCUGUGCAAACGGCAGUGAAAAAGUAACAUUUGGACAGCAACACAGCAACGUCUACAAUGUUAAUAUUCUACAUAUGAUUUUAUAACUCUACUGUCUGUGGAGCUGAUUUAAUGUUUGUCUGCAACACUUAUGAUGCCACUGCACACCUGUGAGUUGCUGCAUUCAACACAGUGGUCAGGAAUAUAUUCACACCUGUAAGUUGCGGAGGUCUCCUCAAGACAUUACCUGAACAGCAAUCAAUCAAUUAAGCUACAAUUACGGCCAAAUGGUGACUCAGUUAAGCUCAGGUUUGGGAUGCCUAGCAGACACUGUAAUGCUUUCAUUUGAAUACAGGUGUGUAUAUAGUUAGUUAACGAAGGGUAUAAAGCUGGGUAUUGACUACACCCAUUUUUUAAGCCAUGUUAAAGUCAUUAUGGGUUUAAUAUCACAAUGUUUUUUCUCUCUGAGGGGAAGACAGUAUUUUUUAGUAAAUACUGAUUAGAUUAUGAGCUUUUCCUGACAGAAACAGAAGAGAGGAAAACACAGAUUGCUCUUAACACAGCCAAAAGCAUGUUUUGCUUAUCAGAAUCUUGACUUCCAAGGACCCAACUAAUCAUUGGAAUUUGAGGUUUAGGCGUGUUAGAAAAUGUAAAUCUAAUCUUCACUAGGAAAACAGUCUCUUCUUUGAAGUAUAUCUUAUAUGCUGGACCUAUCCAUAGACAACUAGGUGUCAGUUCUCUAAUGAGAAAACCUAGAAUGUUCUUUCUACACCUCAGAAAGGGCCUCAAGAUGCUAAAGGUACUCAGCAAGUCUGAAUGCCCCGUAUUAUCCCAGCACAAUGACAAAGUAUGUGAAGAAAGAAAAAACCUUUCUCAGAUCUUCCCAAAUCAGAAGUAGUUCUGAUUUUCAUGAAAUAGUGCUAGUUGUCAAGCUAACUUGUUUUGGUAGCUGAUCUGUUUUUUAAGGAGCAAAAAAACAUGACUGCUGUCUUUUUGCCAAUAAAAAUCUGACUUUUUGCAGAAACCAACCAAAGAACAAUUCCUACUCCCUAGCAGGAAUAAAAGUAAUUUCAAAUACAGAUCAAGCAGAGUAUAUGCCUCUUUCGUGAGCUCAGAUGAGAGCUAUGGGCCUCACAAGUAUCAAGUAUUAUGAAGUGCCAUAUAAUUAUUGUGGCAGUGUUUGACUCUUAGCUUUGAGGAUGCUUGUUUUAAUGUACGUUAUACUAAAAUAGUCAAAUGUGUCUCAUGUUGCUGAGAAAGAAUAAUUAAAAAUAAAUACAGAAAAGCAGGAUACCCUUAGCAUUGUUAGUAACAGAAGUCCCAAAUGUUGGCCAGUUAUUUGACCUCAAAUUUAAGUACCGUGAACAUCAUACACUACUGCAAAGAGCCAACUUCAUAAAAUACAGAUCUGUACCACUUGGUUGGAGAUUUUAAGAGCUAGAAAUCUUUGUUUUAAAGUCAUAAAAUGAAGGGGUUUUUUGUUUUGUUUUUAAUUAUGGAAUUAUCUCCUACCCCAAUUUUUUAAUUUAAAUUAACAGUUACUUGCCUUUUUUUUUUUUGUUUGUUUGUUUGUUUUGGCCUACAGAAGAUGUAACUUAGUUUUUGUCAAACUCACAUCCCCAACAAAGUUACUUUUGUAAUGUUCACUGUUGUGCAUGUAUCAGACUUACAGUAAAAAAAGUGUUAUUUGGUAACAAUUAUAUCUGCACAGGCUAAAUUUAGAGAACAUUUUUUAGCAGAGUAAAUUAGUGAACCCUUAAACGUUCUACAUGUUAGCCUAUUCCUAAUAAAAGUGAGCUACCCAAUGCCAAAAGGAACUGCCAACUGAGUAUUGUGAGUGCUUCACACACGGCACAAGUCCAUCUCCUUGUGUUCAUAGGAAGAUAAACUUUGCACAACAUAGCCUUACUUCUUGAAUGAUAGCAAGUAAAUUCCCUGUUCUGAGUUCACAAUUCUUACUGACUGAAUUUCACAAAGCCUCAAUCUCCAAGAAAUGUAAAAAUGUACCAGAAUUGGGCAGUAGGUUGUUAUUGGAUAUUAUGCUGCUCAUUAACUAUGCUGAAUUAAAAGCACAGCUGUUUAUUAAUGCUUAGUCAUCUUCUUGUUGUUGUUUAAAUAACUUUAAUCUAUACCAUAGAAGUUUCCUAAUUAUUUGUCUUUGUGCAAUUGCUAUGUUGGUUUUUUUAUUUAUUUACUUAUUUAUUUUUAAGCAUUCCUUUAGUGCAUUUGGAUCUCAAUCCUGGAUGCUAUGUCCAAACAGAGUUAAAUAGGAUGGUGCAAGACAAACAGAAAAAACAAAACAAAACAAAAACAGGAUCUCACUUACUGAUUUCAGGUUGUCCCAUUAUUACAGCCUGGUCUCCCACUCCUCUUGAGUUGGAAAACAGUUCUGCUGUUUGUGGUUGAGAACAAAAUGGAAGCAGAUCAGCUGUCAAGAGGUCACUAGGCCUCCAAAUUCAAACUCCUUCUAUUAGCAGCUAAGGAUCAAGUGUGGGGACUAAAGGGGCUGAUUCCAUGUUUUAUGUUCUAGUCAGUAUUUAUGCUGAUACUUGCAAAGCUUUAAACGCAGAGGAAUCCUGUAAUACUCACUUUAGCUGUAUUAGCUAGUGUAUUUGGACUUUGUACACCUGCUAAUAUUUAAUGUUAAUCUGAGCUCAUCUUACAUUGCUGAUUUUCUGUUUGCAUUGAUGACCUCAAAUUGUAAUCAGUCAAAUAUUGCAUGAAGAAUGACGUUAUUGGUAUAUGGGACAUCUGAUAAACUAGGUGUCUUAGUGCUGCCUUUGUACACCAAUAUUAGUCAUUCUCUACUAAAUGCCUAUUCUUUAUCCGUCACAUUAUGUUUUUGCCAAGCUGUAAGCUGGACACUUUAUCCAGAAGGAUACCAUGAGAAACAGUAUCAAAAGCUUUGCUGAAAUCCUACAAGAUUACAUCAGCUGGCUUCUCACGGUCAACUAACUUUAAUUAUCUUAGUCUCCAUUUAUGAUAAAGCUACCCAUCUAGUUGUAGGUAUGAAGAUGGAGAAAAGUCUAGAGGGCAAGGUAUAUGACAAGUGGUGAGGCCCCUUGGUUUGCACAGCCCAGAGCAGAGGAGCUGAGGAGAGGCCUCAUGGUGGCUGCAGCUCCUCACAGGGAGCGGAGGGGCAGCGCUGAGCUCUGCUCUCUGACAGCGACGGGCCCGAGGGAACGGCAAGUAGCUGUGUGAGGGGAGGGGCAGCUGGGGGUGAGAGACAGGGUCUGCACCAGAGGUGGUCGGGCCCUGGAACGGGCUGCCCGGGGCGGUGGUUGCAGCACCAAGCUGCCAGAGUUCAGUGAGCUUUUGGAUAACCGUCAGAGGGUUUGAAUUUUGGGUGGUUCUGUGUGGAGACAGGAGUUGGACUUGAUCUUUGUGGGUCCCUUCCAACUCAGGAUAUUCUAUGAUUCAAUGAUUCUAACUAG